rnacentral:rRNA from 1 species
AUUGAACGCUGGCGGCAGGCCUAACACAUGCAAGUCGAGCGGAUGAAGGGAGCUUGCUCCUGGAUUCAGCGGCGGACGGGUGAGUAAUGCCUAGGAAUCUGCCUGGUAGUGGGGGAUAACGUCCGGAAACGGGCGCUAAUACCGCAUACGUCCUGAGGGAGAAAGUGGGGGAUCUUCGGACCUCACGCUAUCAGAGGAGCCUAGGUCGGAUUAGCUAGUUGGUGGGGUAAAGGCCUACCAAGGCGACGAUCCGUAACUGGUCUGAGAGGAUGAUCAGUCACACUGGAACUGGGACACGGUCCAGACUCCUACGGGAGGCAGCAGUGGGGAAUAUUGGACAAUGGGCGAAAGCCUUAUCCAGCCAUGCCGCGUGUGUGAAGAAGGUCUUCGGAUUGUAAAGCACUUUAAGUUGGGAGGAAGGGCAGUAAGUUAAUACCUUGCUGUUUUGACGUUACCAACAGAAUAAGCACCGGCUAACUUCGUG